rnacentral:rRNA from 1 species
CUUUUAUGGAGAGUUUGAUCUUGGCUCAGGACGAACGCUGGCGGCGUGCCUAAUACAUGCAAGUCGAGCGCGGGAAGCAAGCAGAUCUCCUUCGGGAGUGACGC